rnacentral:rRNA from 1 species
UUUCCGUAGGUGAACCUGCGGAAGGAUCAUUAAUGAAAUUUAUGACUGGGGUUGUCGCUGGCCUUUAAAAACGGCAUGUGCACGCCCCUUUCACUAAUCCACACACACCUGUGCACCUUCGCGGGGGCUCUUGGGAACCGACGCAAGUCGUAAGUACCGGAGCUCGCGUCCCUUUACACACCCCUUUGUAUGUCUUAAGAAUGUCUACUCGAUGUAAUAAAACGCAUCUAAUACAACUUUCAACAACGGAUCUCUUGGCUCUCGCAUCGAUGAAGAACGCAGCGAAAUGCGAUAAGUAAUGUGAAUUGCAGAAUUCAGUGAAUCAUCGAAUCUUUGAACGCACCUUGCGCCCUUUGGUAUUCCGAAGGGCACACCUGUUUGAGUGUCGUGAAAUUCUCAACCCUCUUCACUUUUUUGGUGAAGCCAGGGCUUGGACUUGGAGGCUUUGCCGGCUCUGCUCGGCUCCUCUCAAAUGCAUUAGUGCGUCUUGUUGCGACGUGCGCCUCGGUGUGAUAAUUAUCUACGCUGUGGUGCGCUUGCUUCUGUGGAGACGCGCUUUCAAACCGUC